rnacentral:rRNA from 1 species
UACGUAGGGUGCGAGCGUUGUCCGGAAUUAUUGGGCGUAAAGAGCUCGUAGGCGGCUGUUCGAGUCGGGUGUGAAACCCCAGGGCUUAACUCUGGGCCUGCAUUCGAUACUGGGCGGCUUGAGUCUGGUAGGGGGAUCUGGAAUUCCUGGUGUAGCGGUGAAAUGCGCAGAUAUCAGGAAGAACACCCGUGGCGAAAGCGGCUCUCUGGGACGGUACUGACGCUGAGACGCGAAAGCGUGGGGAGCGAACAGG